GGUACUUUGUUUUCAGCAAUUCGUCGUCCUAGCUACAACCCACCAGAGUAGACUGGCUGGCUCUUAGUGACCACUUUUUUCAAGAAAGCAUUACAUGAAGUCUGCAAAUGAAUUUACAUGAUAAAUAUAACUUACUGAAAAUAUCACAUCCUGUCAAAGAGAAUUCUCCUGCAAAAACACGCUUUGUUCCCGCUUUUCUAACAUUUCAUUAGUAGUUUAUUUUGGUGUUGCAGUCAACUUAUUGGAACAGGGAUUUGAUUUCUCAAAUGAGAACUGAUAUUGCACGAAAUGUUAACUAAAGUUUUUAUUUUCCCAACAUUCUCAUGAGUUGUACACUACAAUUUCGAAAAUCAUAACGUCUGGAAGAGAGAGAGAGAGAGAGAGAGAGAGAGAGAGAGAGAGAGAGAGAGAGAGAGAGAGAGAGAGAGAGAGAGUUAUAGUACUUCAGUGUCCCGGAGAAACGAAUAAUCAAAUACCUGCCAGAUAUAAUAAUUGGUACCUUCUCUAAAGCAGCUGAUUAUAUUGACCUCAAAUGACUUCGUUUCCCCAUAAAUAUCUCGGUGCCUUUGAUGCAAAUCUAAUCAUUAACAUACUACUUUCGAAGGACAAACGUUACUAUCCCAAAUACCCCAAAUUUUUCGCAACUGAGGGGCCAAACUCCGCCCAUAUCAGGGUUUAUCCUCGGCGUAUUCAGCCGUCAGGAGUCUUCAGUCCAGGCUAAACUUCGCACUCGAUACACCUACAGUAUUUCUUCGCAACACGAUGAAGUUGACCACUCUCGUGACACUGGCUCUCUGCCUCCUCCUUCUGGGAUCCGAUUUAAUGAUUCCAGGACCUGGGUCCUCGGCCCUUGCCAGCCCAAUGCCAGGUAGGGGAGGGGGAGGUCGAGGAGGAGGAGGAAAAGGAGGUCGAGGAAGAGGAAAAGGUCGAGGGAAAGGAGGCCUCGGGAGGCCAGGAUUGGGGGGAGGCAGAGGCACAAGCUUAGGACACGGAGGUCGAGGAGCGUUCCAGGAUCGUAGGAAACAGGGCUCCAAUUUUGGCAAUUUCGUGCCUUCCGGAGUCCCUGGUCCCUGAAGACGAUAGAGUCUCAUCCGCUCUCCACUGGUGCUAAAGAAGACUCGUCAACACUCAUCCCUGCUUCUAUUAGUAGCCACAAAGGACCUUCAACUUAUUAUUUUUGAUACUAAAUAAAACUCAUCCCUGCUUCUACUGGUAGCCAAGAAGGACCUUCAACUUACUAUUUUUGAUACUAAAUAAAACAAGGCGUGAUGAGACCUCCAGCUUACUCGGGUCGCGGGCUAAAAUCGACGAAAAUUCAAAAUAAAUAUGCUAUAUUUCAUUAGAAAUAGUUAUUCUGUAUUGUUUAGCAUGCACACUAUUUAUUUUGACAUUUUCCUUCGUAUAAAUAAAUCAUGACUAUCUUACCUAGAA